CUCCUCGUUCACCACUGACUAGUGCGCCUCCGGCGGAGAUUUCGGCGACUGCUGUACGGAUCGACAGUGAGUUUGGGAGAACAAGUGAAGUUUACCUAGCCGGCGAACAUGAGGGCGAAGUGGAAGAAGAAGCGCAUGAGGAGGUUGAAGAGGAAGCGCCGAAAGAUGAGACAAAGAUCUAAGUAGAGAAAUGCACAAAGUCUAUGGAGAUGCCUCUCGUGCGCACGAACCAGCUUCUUUUACUCCUCUGCAUGCAAGGGAUUAAUUGAAGCAAAUUCGUUCGUUAAUGGGAGAUUGUCUUUUUUGCUUGUCAUGUUUCUAUUUAGGAACUUGGUUUCUUGUUUGAAUUUAGGUUGUUUUACAGAAUUUUGGCUUCUUUUUUUUUCGGUUUUAAUUGGAAGCAUCUAUGACAAUUUACUCCUUUUUGGAUCUUCGUAUUUGGUUAUAAUAUAACUAUAACAAUCGUUUUGAUGAA